rnacentral:lncRNA from 1 species
AGAGUUGCCUCUCAAGUGGGUCUGUGCGAAGGAGCCUCUUCGGGCACGGGAGGGUGCCCGCAGCCACCUGUGCGCCGGGAUCCCUCGUUUUCCUAGAGAUUCCAUAUCAUCUAAAGACCAAAUAUGGAUCCUGAAACUGAGAUAAAGAAGCAAUUAAAUCAUUUCUACUGCAAUAAUCUGCACAAUGUGGUGUGCUUCUGCAUUAAACUUGCAGACUCAUUUCCUUGGAUUCAAGCACAAGAUAGGCGAUGAUGAUUUGUUAAAUAAGACUGAAGAAGCUCUGAAAACUCAUGGCACUGUUUUCAUUAAGGUCAUUUCAGAAGGUUGGUGGUGAAGCAGCAAGU